rnacentral:lncRNA from 1 species
UUUUCCCUUCCUCUACUCAAAUCCGGACUAAGAUUUUCAAAACAAACCACACACAAACCUAGAUCUAGAGUGCAAGAUUAAAAAAAAAAGAGCAAAAAAAAGUACCUCUACUCUCUCUCUUCUUCUCCGGUUCGUUUCUUCCCUCUGGUUCGGCGCUGGUUUUUCCGGUUCGUAGCUUGCCUCUCCUUGGUUCAGUCCGUAGCUUUGCUCCUUGGUUCGGAUUUGGUUUUGUUUUGGUUCGUGCUUGCUUGCUUUGAUUCUAAGGUAUUUGAAGUUAUGGUGUUGGAACAGUAG